GCUUUCCUUAGCAAAGUUGGUAGAGCACUGAGCUAAAAACGCAAAGGUUCUGGGUUCAAAUCCCAGGGAAAACA